GACGAACGCUGGCGGCGUGCUUAACACAUGCAAGUCGAACGAUGAAACCUAGCUUGCUAGGUCGAUUAGUGGCGAACGGGUGAGUAACACGUGACUAACCUGCCCCUUUCUCUGGGAUAACGCUCCGAAAGGAGUGCUAAUACCGGAUACUCACAUCGAGGAACAUGCCUUGGUGUGGAACGUUUUUCGGAAAGGGAUGGAGUCGCGGCCUAUCAGCUUGUUGGUGAGGUAACGGCUCACCAAGGCGACGACGGGUAGCCGGCCUGAGAGGGCGACCGGCCACACUGGGACUGAGACACGGCCCAGACUCCUACGGGAGGCAGCAGUGGGGAAUAUUGCACAAUGGGCGCAAGCCUGAUGCAGCGACGCCGCGUGAGGGAUGAAGGUCUUCGGAUUGUAAACCUCUUUCAGUAGGGACGAAGCGAAAGUGACGGUACCUAAAGAAGAAGCACCGGCCAACUACGUGCCAGCAGCCGCGGUAA
rnacentral:rRNA from 1 species